UUGUCGAUUGCUUUGUAUGAGAUUAAACUCCGUGAUCUGUGACGUCAUUGUGCCUCGCCUUGUCUUGCAGCCGUCACGACAUCCGCUCGCGACCCGGCUAACAGGAGGAGAGGAGAGCCAUGCUUUUUCCAAAAUUAAGCUAACCUAAUAACUUUCUUCCUUAACAGGACAAAAUGUCUUUUUGGGCGUCACCAAGUUUAAACAAAUCUUUAUUUUAUCAAUACAUAUCAAGCUAGUUUCGUCCCACUGGGGAUUUGAGUUUAUCACCAACACUGUAGGGCACAGAUGGCAUGUUUUUCAUGUUUUUGGUACUUUUGCCAAAGUUGUGGCAGAUCCACCGUCGUUCCCUCUGUUUUUGUCUAUCAAGGCGGUCAGAUGGUUGUCUGAACUGGAACAAACCCACGUCGUCUAUUUAUGUUCAGUUUGAGUCAAACCCAGGAGGCAACAAACAGCGACUAUGAAAGAGGCGUCUUAUUCUUGCGUCUGAUGGUUACACACCAGAGGAGGGUUACAGUACAGAACCCAGGGAGCGUAGAGUACAUUGCAUUUCCACAGGAAGUGCAGAAACCCCGCUGGUUUCCUGUUGACUUCUGUGGUGGCGCAGCUGCCAGUAAACAAGUCGUAGACGCACGUAUCUAAUGUCCCUGCAACUGAUUAGCUUUUAAAAUGCAGAACAAAUAGGCGGAAGUUCGGUUCAGUCCUGAUAGUCGGGUUGUUUCUCUGACCUUUAAAUUCCUCCAUGAACUCUUUGUCAGAGAGUUUUUACUGUUCAGAUGGAACCAAUAAUUAUGGAAAGAAAAUAAAAUCUGUGUAUUUGAAGAGAAUCAGUCUGAUGGAGUUCAACAGGGCCGUGUGCUCGGAUCCAUCCUUUUUACUUCUAUAUAAGUUUUUCCUCUGUAAUUUCAAAAUAAAAACAUGAUCUCAAAAAAAAGACCAAACAAAUUAUAGCAUCAAAUGUCCAAAAUGCUGCGUGGAAAGUUUUUACUGUUACAAUUUGAGGUUAGAUUACUUUAAUUUGAGUUUUUCUUCCCUGACAGCUUUCAAGCCAAAAGCAGUAUUUGAAACGCUUCUCCUUCCAUCUAUUUGCUUUACAACUGGUAGAAUUAAACUCGUUUCCUUUUCCAGAACUUCUCUGAAUAUAAUUUUAUGACGUUAUACUUUAUAAUCAUCCAUUUAAAAUGGAUAUCUGUUACAUGAACUUAGAAGUCGUUUCAUGUAAAUCGCAGCUGUUUUAUGUAGGUAAACGAUUUCAACAGAGCAAAAUGUGGGGAUUUCUCAAGAUUAAUAUCUGUGUCUUUCAUCACAGACCUUAAUUUUGAGUAAAUAUCCGACGUAGAGUUGUGGUUUUGAGGGUUGCACACUUGAAACUGUUGCUUAGCAGAUUGAGAAAACUUUUUCCCCUCUAAGAUGUAUAAUUGUUUGUAGUUUAAAAGUGAAUCCUUUAUUUCUGGUGUUAUUUUACGUACAGCACGGACUUCCGUCCCAGUUGGGUGCGUAAUAUGUUUAUUAUCAAAGCCUAAAUAGUUUGGAUUCUGGCUGCUGACUGCUGGACUGGAAGGUUUACUGUUUAAACUGGGAAUCGAGGUUUGUGUUUUUCCUUCUCAUAAGCUAUUUUUGUACCAAACUGAAAACAGAGGUUGGUAUCGACUUGAGGCCAAUGUGCUGGGUGUUUGCUCUCCUCUGGAGUCUGGAUAGACACCUAGAGCUAGAGCACAUAGAAAUGGCUAUUAUCAAUGGUCAAGUAAGGCAAAAGAACCAUAACUGCACAAAAGGCUUGUGUGUCCAGGACGGGAUGAUUUAGAGCUUGUAUAUUUUUCAGUAGGUGAAAUGUGGAGACCGUUAUCCGGAGGAAAAUGUCUGGAAUGUCAGCUGAUGUCUGCUGGACUGGCAGGUUUUCAGUACAAACUGGGGUCCCUGCGAUUAUUUUUUCCGUCUGGCAGCAUCUACAGACUAAAUAAUGCCAAUGUUACCACAAUGUGAUUCAAUUUUAUUAAAAAUUAUGAUUUUCGUGUUCUGAAACUGCAAGAAAGGGAGGUUAUAAAGUUUUUUUCCUGUCGUUGAAACCCACAAACUUCUAACUCUGUUUCCUUCCUUUGUUACACUUUUAUCCCCAUUCAAGGCAAAGAGCCACUGGUUUUUCAUACUUCUGUUUUUUAGAAGAAAGUUGAUAUGAUAGAGAAGUAUGUUGUAGUUCAGACUGGUAUUUUUCAGAGAUAAACCUCAGUUGAAGGAUUACCAGCUGUGCUUGUAAACACACUUUCUAAUGAGUGUUUUCUCUCCUGAAGCGUUUUUAUCGAGUUUAUCAGGAUAUUUUUGCUGGUAUGUAACAUUUGCUGUGUUUCUGUUACAAAUGUGCACAAAACGUUUGACAUUAGAAACCUCUCCACAAUUUCACAGUUGAGGUGUCUCCAUUAAAUAAGAAAUGUAAUUAAAAUCAGGUGGUAAUUCAUUAAAAGUCAUGGCUGAGACGGACGUAACGACUAACGUGAGAUUUGUUCAAGCAUCAGAAGAGACGUUGGCGUCUUGUUGAAGCAUCGAAACGAGAAGCCGUCUGUUCCUGGCAGUGUAUAAAUGCAGCGUUUUUGGGGAAUUGUUAGUGAUUUUAUAGAAGAGCGAUGGAUUCAACUCUUUUGAAUGACAAACUCAACUAUUGAAUAAUUGUGUGAUGUUGUGGAGACAAACGUUGGGCGUUUCCUGAAGAUCUUGUUUUAUAUUUGAAACCAUAAAACAGGUAAUGGAAAGGCAGUCAGCAGGAUUAACUGGCAGGAGAAAAGACAGUUUAUUUGUCAUUUGUCACCACUACGGUUAUUAUUUGAUUAAAUGUGUUUUCUCAACGGCUUUCUGCUCCAAGUUUGACUAAAUAAAUCACUGCUGCACUUGGAGCCACUCUGGAAAAUAAAAGCUUUGCUUGCUUUGUGUGUGCCUUUAAAAACAUCAUUUUUUCUAGGAACUGCAUCUUUUGACUUCUGUUAAACAUUGUAAUUACCAUAACUAACGGUAAUUACAAAGGAUGCAGCCUUUCGUCGAUGAUUCAUAAAUUUGUCCAAUCGUCCAACCUUAGUGGAGACGACUGCGAAUUGUACAAAGACAGACAAUUACAAAUAAGAGCGUUGCUCUUGCUGUUCACAAACUGGCUUACAAACUCAUAUAAUACGAUAAAAAUGUUUCCAUUGCUGUUUUGCGAAAUACACCAACUCCCAAAUGGUUGUAAAAUUACCUCAUCGUAGCGUUUCAUCGAAGAACGUGAGUUUUCUCAAAAUUGGUUUGUUACCAUUAAGCAAAUUUAUUUUCGUAAUUCCAAUUUGCGUGAUUUUAUGCUCAAUAGAAGAAAUGCUAAUGGUGAUUUUCCUUGGUGCUUUUAUACGUUUCAGCUGCUGGUGUGGAUGGCAGCACUGCGACGGAAAACCUGGAGACAAACACAUCCGUUUCUCUACAGAGUUAUGAUAGGAAACAUUAAUCAAACUCUGAUAAACAGUAGCAGCUAAAACCUUUGAGUCGCUGCAGAUCCAGCAUGUUGAAGGCCAGGUGUUUGCUUUAUGACCAGUUCUCCAGCAUAAUUAACUCUUCUUACAUGUAAAACUAACUUAAAGAACCUACAGACAGCAUAAGUGUAUUCAUUUAAAGCUGUUGCAGUACUCGGUGUGUUUUUAAUGGUUAGUUACUGCAGUGGUGCCAUAAUUUCUCCUUAAAGCAAAUGAUCAGGUGUUCAGAUUAUUCAUCAUAGUUCAGUUUUUGAAUUAAAAGUUUGUAAAUGAGAUGAUAUGUUGGUUUAAACUCUGAUAAACAUCAUAAAAUCUACCAUGCAGGAUAAAACCUUUAACGAACCAACACAGCCGAACAGAUGAACCAAUCGAAGCCCGUUUUGAUGGUUCCUUUGGAUUUUUGAUCCGAUCAAAACGAGUUGCGGAUCCCGACGCUCCCAGCCCGUCAGACAGCAGGCACAGGGGGAUUCUGGGAAUAAUCCCAACAAUCAGUAAUCUGUGGAUGUUAAUGCAACAAGGAGAGGAAGAGGAGAAAUCUUCAUAGGAUCCGCGUUUGUUUCGUCAUAAUCACUGACGUGAUAAAACGUUGAAAUAGUCGGGUUUCCUGUGGGAUUAGAAAGGAUCGGGUUUGUUGUGUCUAAAGAAGCUAAAUAACUUUAUAAAAAGCCACUUUCACAUCGCGUCUGUUGGCUCUUCAUCACAAAUUAUUGAGGAAAUUUCCAGCUGUGGUCAGAGGCUGCAGUCCUGCAGGCAGCAGGGCUGCUGCUAUUUAUAUCACCACUGAUUACAUUUGGAUUUUAACGCGACUAACAGAUACAGUGGGAUAUCCGAGGGUCAAAGGUGGCGGCAGAUGGUGGCGCAUUUAAAGUUUGGGAUUGUGACUUUGUUAAGAUUAUAGAGAUAAAAACAACUGGCCAAGUGAGGAAGAGGAGGAAGAGGAGGGACCAUCCUGACGGAGGAAAAUCCUCCAGCAGGGGAGUAGAGAUGAAGAUGAAGCUCAUUGUUGAAAACUGAGGAAGAGUCUUUGUUCGUUAGCAGCAGCUGAGACUCGCUCCGUUUGGGAGAGGAUGGUCCGGUUCUGGAGCGGACCGGAUCCCUGAUCCCACCGGCACUAAACCCUCCGGAGAGAGGAUCCGUCUGGGCUCCAGACCAGCCGUAAGCAGAGCUUCACUUCAUCAUCAGUUAUAAAUUAUUCCAGCUGAAGAUGUGAAGCAUCAUUUCACCUGGAAGUGAGCUGGAAGAGUUUCAGAGUAAAACGAUCCGAACUGAAGCCAUCCAGUCCAGCUGAUAGCAGUCGGACCAAACAACCACAAAUAUGUGCUGAAAACCUUCAGGUGGGUCCAGUGGGUCAUGAAAACCAGCCAGAAUCUCACGCAGUAGAACCAAACACCUGGAACAGCUGGUCCAGUUCACUGCAAACAGGUUCUCAAUUAAUAUUUACUUUUUAUUUUGGCUCCAUGUUCACAUCCUGAAACGACGGAUUCUCCGCUACGUUGACAGUAUAAAUAAAAACACUUUUAACACCAAAGUUUUUAAAUUGUCUUUGACUGUUAGUGAAGUUCAGAAGGUUUAUAAUCGGAUUAAAAAGUGUUGCAGUGACUCUGCUCAGACUUACAGAGGAAGGAGAAACUAUUUCAGCUGCUAGAAACUCUGACUGAGUUUGUCUCGCCGGGUUUGUCUCUGCCGUCACGUUCCUGAGCCUUCGAGCCAGGCAGCGGUUCCCUUUGACCCGCCUGCUCAGCACUCAGUCACAACUUACUGCAGCUACGGAGUAUUUCAGUAACCAGAUAAGAAUAAAAAAGCUACAUUCUGCAGAUUCAAACACUUACGCCUUUUCUGAAACAGUUUCAGAAAAUUCCUUUUAAAUAAGAAAAUAAAGAUUUUAUUGUGUAAAAUGCAGUAACAUCAUUCCUUUAGGGAACAUUUCACAAUUUGUAGCAAAGAAUACAUCUGUAGCUAAAUACUUCUAACAUGUGAAAGUUCAGCUGUUGGUUACUAGUUUUUGGAUUAACUGAUUAAUAAAAGUUGCUUAAUACAUUUUUACUUUUUACUGAAUUUAAACUGAGUGAAGCUAAAACUGCAGGAGUUAAUUUUUUUAUUUUAAAUGCAAAAUGUAAAUAUUUUUUGUUAGUUUUGGUUUAAAGUGUAAUUAACCCCCUGCUGAAAGAUUAGCCCCGCCCCCUGACAAAAUUUAAAUUCCAGCAAAGUGGGCGGAGCCAGUAUACUUUGCCAUGAGGAGUGCUAAUGUCGCGUCAGCAGUGAGUUCUGCUGCGAGCGUUUCCCGGUUCCUAAACUCUGCAGUCAGUCUGAUAGUCACCUGUCCAACACCGUACCUUCGCCAAUAGUCAGAGCAGAAGAGACACUGUCCACUCUGUCCACUCUGUCCACAUUGCAAAUCAAUCACACAUUUGUAAAGCUAUUGAUCAAUUCAGCGCAUUACACCCGACUCGCCACCAGGGGCCGUUUGUCUGCGUGAGAUUGUUUUCUACCCAAACAAAUAGGGAAAUUCAGGGGAGGCAAGUAAAGCCUGGCGGGAGGCAAAUACAGCCUGGCAGGAGGCCAGUAAAGCCCAGGAAACACUGGGAGUUAGUUACACUUAAAUUACGGCUCUGACUUCAUUGUUCUUUUUUGAAGAAAGGCCAUUCUCCUGAAGAUUUAAUUGCUUAUUAUUAAUGAUCGAUUAAUCAUUUGCUCUAGUUCAGACAUUUACAGUGUUAUUCCUCAUUUUAUCCCUGAGGAAAUCUGUUUGCUAUCCAAGGAAAACUUGAUUUUUGUGUUGGUCUACUAUGUAAGAACUUUCUUAAUGGUAUUUCCUUCUUCCUCUCAGCCCCAGAAACCCGUCUGUCUUUGCCUGAAGGACGUUCCAGACUGUCAGGAACAUUCCUGCCCCAUUCCAGAGCCAGGCAACUCCCUGGGAUGUUGCAGCUGCAGCAGCAAGGUAAGAGUGAACCGUCCUCCUGCUGAACCAACCGGUUCCUGAUCGCCUGCAGCAUGUGGAAGGAGAACUCAGCUCUUUGUUUGCAGCCGGUUAAACCUCUGAUCAUGUUUGCUUACAGAGUUUUCUGUAGAUUCGGCGUCAGAUUCUUUGAAAGGGCGCGACCCAGAGUCUGCCCUGUGAGUUUAGCCUUCAAUGACGCGGAGCCGCCGUCUCUGUUAGCAAUUUGAUUAAAAUUACGUUUUAGUCGUAAACGUCUGGGAAGCUGUUUGUGUUUCAGUGAAACUCUCCAUGUUUACAGCAGCUGAAGCUGCUCUGUAUGUCAACAACAAUUUAUAACCAAAUUACUACACAAGCUGUAAAGAUUUGUGUUUACAACUCUGCAGCUGGAGGCAACAUAAAGCAUGUGUGUGAAUUUAUCUUCCUGUGUGUAAGAAACUUUCAGUGAGAAUAAUAAUAGUUUUUAGUUUUUAGCUUCAUUUUUACUGUUUAGAGUUCAGUUCAAAUCUGAGUUGCUGCUACAGAGACCAGCAAAUUGAGCUUUAACAUGUUUUUACAUGUCGCAGUCAUAAACUUCUGUCUUUUACUGAGAUUUUAUAAGUUCGACCAAAACAAAGUCAUUCAUUCACUACAUGCUUUAGUUUUCAGCUCCUCUGUAGAAACGUUGAACCUUCUUCCACUGCGACUAUUUGUAUAUUUUUACUCCAGAUUUAUAACCUACAUUGUGUUGAUUUGUGUCAUAAAAUCCCAAUAAAACAUGUUUUCAGUUUA